AUUUGUUUCACUCCCCAAAUCACAGUAAAUCCCCAGGUUUUCAUGGUUUAUUUUUACAGGUUUAACAACAUCACUUACACCAGCCCCACCUUUGCCCUCACAUGGUGGUCAUGUCUGAGCCGCACUGAUGUUGUUAAGAUCACAGUUUCCCUUGCAGCAGUCCAAAACGCCAUUUCAGGUUUUCAGAGCAUUUCAGGUUUUCAGUGAGGUCCCAAGGAGGAAGGUGGAGGAAAUAGGGGAUGGGGAAUAUAGAGGGUAGGGAUAUGGUGGGGGAAGAGCAUGAAUUGUAAUAGUCCAACAAUACAUCUUCCCUGAAAAUGUGCUCUAUUACACCAGUAAUUUCUAAUGAAAAACUUCAUUCUUCACACACUGUGGUUAAGCAUCAUCAAAUCAGUACUGAAAAGACCUUUGAUCGUAUUUGCAAGAUGCACUAAAAUGAACUUUCACUGACCAAGAUUUCAAAGUUUGUAAUUAAUACUCUUGAAAAAUCCCUGACUAAUCUGUCAACUCUCAACGUCUUUAACCACACAGUUCAAAACCAUGAGGUGGCGUACACAGCCCCUAAACUUUCCACAUAUUGUCAUAUGAUUAUUCAAGAUAAUUUUCCCUUUGGGUUUGCAUUAUGAAACUCAACCAACUUUGGUAAUAUAUUCACCGGUGGGGGAAAUACAAUGAUUUGAAUGAGUGUAAAAUAGAGUAUGGGUUUUAUCUAUCUGGUGCCAAAAACAGAACGUAGGGCCAGAGGUAGGAAUUAAAUGAGGCAGAUUUCAAUAUAAAGAAAAUUUUAAAAAAAUAAACUUGAAAAGGAACCCAAUGGCUGGUGAAAAGGAGGGUUUCUUCACUCAUAAGUGUUCAGGGAGUGUGCCCUCCAAUGGCACCCUAGAGAAGAAAAAUGAACUGGCUGUGAAGAGGAGUUGACUGCCAAGAUUCUUUCUAAAUCUAAAGUUCUGGAGCAGUUUAAAAUACUCCUUCUAGCCUUCUCCAUUUUUCCUAGACUGCAACAGAAACCUCAGAAUGAUUAUUGUCUCAAUGGACGGAUCCGGCAUCAUUCCUGUUAGUUAUUGUUUGACUCUUAGUUAUUGUUUGACUCUGAUUCCAGGUACCCACCCACCUCUGUUCCUGGCUGUCAAGAUGAUAAUAAUAAUUACCAUCCUUUCACUCACAAAUGGUAUGCUGGAUUCCUACCCAGUGUUAGGUACAAUUCUGGACUUUAGAGGUUUAAUGGUACACACUACAGGAACAGGUCUCACAUCGUGAAGCUGUUGAGGCGUUUUAAAAAUUUUUAAAAAUAUAUGAUCUCUUUAAUACAAAAUAAACUUGAGAAGAUAAUAUAGCAUUGAUUAUUACACAGUUACAGUAUUUUUAUUACCAGGGGGUAUUUUUAUAUGGGGCUAAGCAGUGUAUUAUUAAAGUUUAGUUUUGUUACCAAACAUGCUUCCAUACUAUAAGCAUAAAUUUGAGAAUAUCUGCUUUAAAGAAAGCAGAAGCACUCAGCCCUCAAGGGAUGACACUGUGUUUGACUAUAUUAAUAUGUAUAUUUGGGAGUGAGGGAAAAAUUGUAACAUCAGUUUGGCUUCCCACCUCCAUCUAGUUGCAGUACUCAAUUUAUUUUUCUGCUCUUUUUGACUCUCCCUACAGUUUCCUUAUUUCAGUUGGGAGAGUAGGAUGGCCAAGGAUGGGCAGUGACUAAGCUUUGCAGUCCUCUGAACAAACCAUAUUUUCCCAGCAUGGCAUGGUGUUAGUCCUAUAAUAGAUGUUCAGGGUGGGAAGUGCCCAGUACACUUGGAGGGACACCCCAGCUAUUCCUAGGACUCCAUGCAGAAGGUUUUCCUGCCUCUUCCCAUAUGUCUCACCCCUGUUCUCAGCAUAAGAUGACCACAUGCUGUUUUUUGUGAAAAAUCCCUUACCCAAACUUGAAAUGUCCCUUCAUUAGCCCCUUUCGUCUGGCUACCUUGGUAGAGUCUUUUUCUCCAUCCCUUUAAUCUGGGCUGAGUUAUGACUUGCUUUGCCAGUAGAAUAUGGGGAACAUGUCACUGUGUGAUUUCCAGAGUUUAGGCCUUAAGAAGCUUUGAAUCCCCCAUUAUCACUCUCCUAUAACCGUGAGAAUACCUGCUGUGCAGAAGCCCAGUCUAGCCUGCUGGAGGACAAAAGGCCACGUAGAGAUGGACCAAGGUGCCUUGGCCAACAGCCAGCACCCACUGCCAGAUAUGAGAGAGAGGCCAUCUUGGACAUCCUAGUCCUGUUGAACUCAGAUGACUGCAGCCACAGGAGUGAUCCCAGUGCCUCACUGCUUCCAGUUGCUGGAGGAUAUGUGGUGCUGCACUGACAAAUGCCUCCACCACUGUGGCAGACGUGUGACCCUUGACGUUCUUCCUAAGUCAGAAUCUGUAUUCUGUGUGUGCCUAGUGUGGAGAACAUGGAUCUGCCCAGCCACACUGGCUCAGAUUCUCUGAGAGGACCAGGGCAGUAAUGGUGCCCAGGAGUACUCUAUGAUGUUGCCACCGGAGGAAGGUGCCAAGGAUAUCGGCUUCAGAGCCAGCUACCAUGUGAAAAGUCCAGCUUGAUGACCUAGAAGGACCUUUACCUGCAGAAGGACAAGGCUUCAACUCUGUUCUGCAGAUUCUCCUUCAGUAAAUUGGGAGUGCCCUUCCACACUGGUCAACAGGCCCCUCCCUGCUGCUUUGGAUCACCACCUUAAGUCAAACACAAUUCAAGUGCCUUCAAAAGAGCAGCACAUGGACUGGCAAAUCGUGACUGGUGAAAAUGGGCACAAUCAAGUAGUUAACCUGCACCUAUUCUCACUUUUUGCAGACUUCCAAACUCGCUGAAUGCACAGAGGCCUUGGCCUGGCUUAUCUCCUCCUCGCUCACUUAUCCUGAAGAAUUGCUUUCCCUUUAGACAAACAUUCUGUAAAGGAUCAGAUGGUAGGUCUGUGGCAGCUAAUUUCCCAUCUUAGUCCUUAUGCCUGACUAAGCAGUCAAUGAAAGAAAAAUAAACCUGAAACACUCACACGAGGCAUAAUCUCAUAGCGUGUGCUGUGAUUCUACUUCUCUCAAUUUACCCAACAACUACUAGAAAGGGGAGCUCCAUUCCUGUUUUCAUUGCCCACUGGCUGGCUCCUCCAGGGAGGGUCAGACCUUAGCUUGGUGCGUCUCCUGGUCCCAGGAACACAUACAUUCUCAUUGGUUUUCUCUGCAACCAAGUUUCAUUAGCAUAAAAUGACAUUCCACAGGUCUAUUAAAUAAUCAGGACUCCAGCUAAUAUUUUCUCUGAAUCAAUUUAAAUUAUAUUUUAUGUUGAUUUGUUCCUUCAGUUGAUAAACAAUAUUUAGCAUAAUCUGAAAUGUUAGAAUAGAGAAAUUGCCUUCCUUACCAAACAACAACAAAAUCACUUUUGUUUACCCUCACUAAAUAAUUAAACUUGAAGAAAAUUUACCUUUAAAAUGUCC
rnacentral:lncRNA from 1 species